rnacentral:rRNA from 1 species
CCUACGGGAGGCAGCAGUGGGGAAUCUUGCACAAUGGAGGAAACUCUGAUGCAGCGAUGCCGCGUGAGUGAAGAAGGCCUUUGGGUUGUAAAGCUCUUUUGUAGGGGAAGAUAAUGACUGUACCCUAAGAAUAAGGUCCGGCUAACUUCGUGCCAGCAGCCGCGGUAAUACGAAGGGACCUAGCGUAGUUCGGAAUUACUGGGCGUAAAGCGCGCGUAGGCCGUUGAGUUAGUUAAUUGUGAAAUCCCAAAGCUUAACUUUGGAACUGCAAUUAAAACUGCUCGACUAGAGUUUGAUAGAGGAAAGCGGAAUACAUAGUGUAGAGGUGAAAUUCGUAGAUAUUAUGUAGAACACCAGUUGCGAAGGCGGCUUUCUGGAUCAACACUGACGCUGAGGCGCGAAAGUAUGGGUAGCAAAGAGGAUUAGAUACCCUCGUAGUCCAUACCAUAAACGAUGAUUGCUAGAUGUUGGAAAUUUAUUUUACUAGUAUCGUCAGCUACGACAUAAGUACACUACCGCCGUCGGGUAGGUACGGACCGACCGAACGGUUAAACGUAACGAAACGGAAAGUUAGUAACGGUCGUGUUAGACGUGCCGACGGACGACGACGAGGGAGGAGG